AUGGACACGAGCUCAUACCUCAAAACCCAACGGGCAGGGGCUGGGACGGGGUGGGGGGUAGAUAGCAGGAGCGCGGCGUCCCGGCGGCGAGCAAGAGCGGGACCGGCGACGGGCGCGAGAGGCGGGGUUUGGGGCGGGACUGAGGCGGGGGUUGGGGAGACGGCGCGGUGGCGGAGUCGCAGGGGGCUCGGGCUGAUCGAUCCGGACUUGUUGGCUGUGCAAGGAGCUGGGAAAAGGGGGGCGGAAAAGGGGGAAGAAGAAAAGGGAGGAGCGAUUCCAGUAGUGGUGUGGAUGGGGAGAAAGCGGUCCAAAGGAGGAGAAGGGGCCCGGAUUCCUAAUCCGCUGCUAGUGAUGAGGCUUUUCGCACCGAAUCUGCUGUCAAAUACAGUGCCCUAUGCUUUUUCUUCAGAAAUACUCCGAAAAAGGAAGGUUUCGGUGGACUGGAGAUUCUCACAGAUCGCUGUGAAUAAAUAA
rnacentral:rRNA from 1 species